rnacentral:lncRNA from 1 species
CACAAGUGCUGAACCCUUGACGUGCCUUAUCUUAUUUGCUCCUCACAACAAAUCUUAUAAGAUGCAACACUACCAGAAGUUGUCCAGAAAGAACUGUGACCCUAUGUUUUAAUUAAAUAAUUUUUCAUCCAGUUUUUUUCUUUGCAUAUAAAGAAACAGAAUCCUGACAUCUGAUUGAAUUAUUGGCUCUCCUGAUGGUUGUGCGAUGGCUGCAGCAGUUCCAGAUGUCCCAUCGAGACACAAAAAGAUCCCAGAUGGAAGAUGCCAUCUCCUCCUAUGUGCCUCUUUUUAAGAGUGCCAUGCCACUCAAACAGCCAAUGGAAAGGCCCACGUGGCGAGAACUAAGGCUUCCUGCCAACAGGCAAGUGAGGAAGCCCAGUCAGCUGCCUGCAGUCCUGACCCAUGAAGAGCCUGACUGAAAGUGAAUGAGCAACUCUGAGCUAGGACAACCCAGCAAGGCCCAUCCUGAAUUCCUGCCCACAAAAACUCUGAGACAGUAAAUGUUCGUUGUUUUAAACCACUAAGUUUUGAAGUAAUAGAUUAAUUAGGUAACCAAUUGGGACUGCAGUAUUCCUUCAGGGAACUUGAAUAGUCAUUCUGUAUAUGGAAAUUGUACACAUCUUAAAAUUGCUGGACUAAAGUGAGAAGAGACUGUCUUGAGUCAACUGGAUAAAGUGGGAAAAAAAUUAAUUUGGAAAUCAAUAGAAUUCUGGCCUUGGCUUUGUCACUAAGAAACACUUAUAAGUAAUUUCACUUCUCUUGAAAUUAUGAUCAUUAUCUAUAACAUAAAGGAACUGAGCUAAAUGUUAUCUGAUGCCUCUUUAGGCUCUCAAACUCCAUAGAUUUAUGAAAUGCUUAAAAUUCACUUUGUUUCACCCUAAUUCAGAGCUUUGUUUCACUAGCUCUAGAAUUAGAUGCCUUGGGUUUAAAUUGCAAUUCAGUCACUUAUUAAAUAAUUGUACUUGGAUGAGUGAUGUUGCCAUUUUAAGCCUCAGUUUCCCCAUAGAUUCAUUGAGAAGAUCGAAUAAGAUGAUGCAGAUAAAGCUCUUAGUUUGUGGGGACACUUAGUAAGUGCUUAAUACAUACAGGCAGUUGUGUUAUCUAUGUUGUAGCAGCACAUUUUGUAAAAUAAAACAAAGUUGAAAUCACA